rnacentral:lncRNA from 1 species
CUCCCGUCCACCGCAAUAUGCGACAACUAAUCAUCGCCUCUCCGUCACCGCCACCGAUCCACUAGCUAGAUUCCGGCGAACUCCUUCUCCCGUGACACGGCCGCAGCUGCGCUUCCACCUCGGCGUUCUGGUGCUCGUGGCGACAUUGAUGCACCUUGUCGACCGUGUGCCCAUCGCCCUGCGCCCAGCCGUCGUCCGUCGGAACGCGGUGUCAGGGGAAGCCGC